GACGAACGCUGGCGGCGUGCUUAACACAUGCAAGUCGAAUGAGAGCGUAGAGAAAGCUUGCUUUUUCAACAAUCUAGUGGCAAACGGGUGAGUAACGCGUAAACAACCUGCCCUACGGAUGGGGACAACAGCUGGAAACGGCUGCUAAUACCGAAUACGUUCCGAAAGUCGCAUGACUAUCGGAAGAAAGGAUGGCCUCUAUUUAUAAGCUAUCGCCGGAGGAGGGGUUUGCGUCUGAUUAGCUAGUUGGAGGGGUAACGGCCCACCAAGGCGACGAUCAGUAGCCGGUCUGAGAGGAUGAACGGCCACAUUGGAACUGAGACACGGUCCAGACUCCUACGGGAGGCAGCAGUGGGGAAUCUUCCGCAAUGGGCGAAAGCCUGACGGAGCAACGCCGCGUGAGUGAAGACGGCCUUCGGGUUGUAAAGCUCUGUUAUACGGGACGAAUAAUCUUGUGGUUAAUACCCAUGAGAAGUGACGGUACCGUAAGAGAAAGCCACGGCUAACUACGUG
rnacentral:rRNA from 1 species